GAAUGUAGAAUAUUGAAUGAAUCAAUCAAAGACGUUAACACUUCCAGCUACAGGCAGCUCAUUAUGGCUUAAAGCAGCCAGGCCUCAGAGUUCUUUUUUACAAUGAUUGGACUGUCAUCUCUUCCCACUUGUUUGUUCCAGUUUUAGCUCGUCAGGUCAUGUAGAUUUGCUCUACCAUAUAACAAACCUUUAAAUACCUGAACUGAUACUCAUGCCCUACUUUCUCCACCUGACCUCUGAGGUUUGCCUCUGCAGACUAAUAUCCCUAGUUUUCUUUUUUUUUUCUUUUUUUUUGAGACAGAGUCUUGCUCUGUCGCCCAGGCUGGACUGCAGUGGCGCCAUCUCGCCUCACUGCAAGCUCUGCCUCCUGGGUUCACUCCAUUCUCCUGCCUCAGCCUCCCGAGUAGCUGGGACUACAGGCACCCACCACCACUCCCGGCUAAUUUUUUUGUAUUUUUAGUAGAGACAGGGUUUCACCGUGUUGGCCAGGAUGGUCUCGAUCUCCUCACCUCGUGAUCUGCCCGCCUUGGCCUCCCGAAGUGCUGGGAUAACAGGUGUGAGCCACCGCGCCUGGCCUAAUAUUCCUAGUUUUUUAACAACUGACAUAGUUAUGAGUGUCUUGUGAUACUCUCAUACGGUCCCUUCUGAGCACAUACCAGAUAGUUACCUUUACAUGGUACUCAGGAUGGUUCAUGGAAGGCCUGGUCUGCGUGGGAUUAUGAUCUUAUGCUUUCUAGAGUCUGUUCAUGCUCUUUGCUAUCAAAUUAACUUUUUCAUUUUUUUCGAGGAAACAUUGUUUUUUUCCAGUGCUUUAGGGAGAACCAUUUUAUUCUUAGUAAAACCCUGCCUCAGUGGAAGGCAAUUGAAGUGGGAGAUAAUUAUCUUGGGGCUGGUAUGGUCUGCAAAUGGUUCCAUAUGUUGUGUCUUGCUUCCAGGUUGACUUAUUUGGAGGUUCAAGAUAAUUGACCACCAAGUCUGGUUCUGGAGAAGUUGGGUUUCCACAUGCCUUACAGUACAAGUGUGGCAAUUCAGGAGGUGAUCUAGAAGCAAGGUGUCCUUGCUCACGGAAGAAUGACAGCGGGAGAGAAGAUCGAAAUCACUGCCCAGGUUAAUAAAGCAAUAUGUGAGAUGACAGUCCAAGUUAGAAACCAGCCAAAGCUUGGAACGUGCUUCCUUGGGGAUUUCAUGUUCAUAUCAAUGACUGAUUUGGAAUUCGGAUUUGCCUUUGAAUGUUGGAGAGCAUGGAAUCAUGCAAGGAUCAGCAGACAGAUCCUGGGUGGUGAUCGUGAUGUACAGCUACACAAAAGAAAUGAAUGUCUUUUUUUCCCCAAAAGAUGAUGUAUUACAAGAGUCACUACUAAAUCAGCAUCUACGUCAACCAAAUACAAUCUCU